rnacentral:lncRNA from 10 species
CGAGCGGCAAACACCAGGUGCCAGGGCGUGAGCAACAGUUUGCGUGGAGGCCACUCGGUCUCCACAGCCACAAAUGAAGCCCGGCGCUGCAAGUCCCGGUCCAGGAAGAGCAGCACCGGCGUGGGCACCACCCGGCCUGACGCAUCGGCCGCCAAAACCCAGUCUCCGCGGUGCAGUUCCCGCAGCCCUUUCCGCUCGCCGCUCCACAGGCGCACAGUUGCAUUUCCCGGAAAGCAGCCGCCCGCCCGGACCGCCAGUGAGUUAUCUGCAGGGAACAACCACAGGGAGGAUUGAAUCAAGACCAGCGGUUCCAGAACGAUUCUCAAGGCCAGCGCAGAUAUCGCCAGUCAUGGACAACACAAUUUUCCGUUAAUCUGACUGGCCCCAACCUGGGCAGAAAAGGAAGGGCGGUUUUUCUUUCUUUUCUUUUCCUUUUUCUUCUCUUUUCUAUGUAUGUAUGUAUGUAUGUAUGUAUGUAUGUAUGUAUGUAUGUAUUUUGAGAUAGAAUCUCGCUCUGUCGCCCAGUAGAUGGAGUGCAGUGGCACCAUCUCGGCUCACUGCAACUUCUACCUCCCGGGUUCAAGUGAUUCUCGUGCCUCAGCCUCACGAGUAGCCGGGAUUACAGGCAUACACCACCACGCCCAACUAAUUUUCGUAUUUAUAAUAGAGACGGGAUUUCACCAUGUUGGCUAGGCUGAUCUCGAACUCCUGACCUCAAGUGAUCCGCCCUCCUUGGCCUCCCAAAGUGCUGGGAUUAGAGGCGUGAGGCACCGCCUCGGCCUGGACGGGUGGUUUUCAACACUAAAGCCCGCUUGGUCUCCCCUAGGGUGGCAACAGUACUACUGCAGACUCAGUUUCCCGGAGGGAGCCCCCUUUGGGCGGAUUUUACCACCCUCCUCCUACUGUACCAGCUUUGACCGACACGUGGACGUGGUUGCGGGACUCGUAGUAGACCCAGUCGAAGCCGGCUUCCACUGCGAGGCGCGCCAGCAACCCAUACUUGUUGCGGUCGCGGUCAGACGUAGUGAUGUCCAAAGCACGGCCUUCGUAGUGGAGUGAAUCCUGAGCGUGGUGGCCGUCCUCGUCCCAGCCCUCAGUCACUCGUAGGCGCACUCCGGGCCACAUGUUCAUCACGGCAAUGGCCAAAGCGUUCACCCGCUCCUUACAACGCUGGCGGGGAAUAAAGGAGUCAGUCUCCCCACCACCACCCUUGGGGCAAAAGGGACCUGGAUAGGAGGGUUGAUUCUUUGUUAUUCCGGCCCUACUCUUACCCCUCCCAGCUUUUGAGUGUCCUGGAGAAAUGAGAAUCUGAGUCGAUGGUAGUCACCAAUCUGCACUCUGUUCCCAGGACGUCGUUGGAGAACUGUGGGCUCACCUCUGAGGUUGAGAGGGGGUGCCCAUACCUAGCUCCUUCCCCAUUUUUAAUGCCCGUCCCUCACCCCUAUUGGUUCAGGGACAGCGGCUCAACCUGGGAGAAGGACAGAGUUAGGAGGGCGAAUGGAAGCGUGGUCAGGGAGGGCCUGGUUGCUCCCGGAGAGCCCCUGUUUGAGCCUGGCCCCCGCCCCAGGCACCGGCUCCCCUCCCUCCGCCUGAUUCAUCUUUUGUUUCAUUGCCUUCCCUGGCACCGGGCAUCGCUUCCUUCCUUCCUUCCUCCUCCUCCUUUGGGCCCUUAGCAUUAACCCCUUCGUGCUCUGGGUGCCCCCCAGAGAGGUGCCCAAGAGGAGCUGUGCGGGAUCAAGGCUGCUGGAAAAAGGAUUGGGGUGGCGGGGGUUGCGCGAAGUACAAUGGCCAUUAUCCGGGAUGACUUAACCGAGCGAGAAUCCUGAGCCCAGGCCGGGAACGCGCUGGGAGAAGCGGACUCAGCAGCUCCGGCCACAAAGGCGCUUUUCAGCCGCCCCGGCUCAGGGAGAGGAAAGGGCAGAAAGCCGCGCCCCCAAUCCCUGCUCCGUCCGGGUAGGUCCCCUCCCCCCGCGCGUCCAGUCUUCCCAGUUCCAGCUAAGGCUCUGCCAGUCCGGAGAGCCCCUAUCUCUCCCAUCUCUGCUCUAGAUGCAGCCCAGAAGGGCGUGGGAGUAGCACCUGAGAAUAACGGUCUCCUUGUGCGGAUCUGGGGAGCCCCCUGCAGGGUGGCAACCAGAGGAAAGGGCCACAAUGUUCCACGGCCAAGGAGGAAAGAAGGAAUGCCCCUUUUCCCAUCUCUAGUUCUAACAUUCAAGAUCACUGGCCAGGCUGGAUGAAGUGGCUCACACCUGUAAUCCAGCACUUUGGGAGGCCGAGGUGGGAGGAUCCCUUGAGCUCAGGAGUUCAAGACUAGCCUAGGCAACAUGGCAAGACCCCGUCUCUACAAAAAAUAAAAAAU